rnacentral:rRNA from 1 species
CCUACGGGAGGCUGCAGUGGGGAAUAUUGGACAAUGGGGGGAACCCUGAUCCAGCCAUGCCGCGUGUGUGAAGAAGGCCCUCGGGUUGUAAAGCACUUUCAGUGAGGAAGAACGCCUGGUGGUUAAUACCCAUCAGGAAAGACAUCACUCACAGAAGAAGCACCGGCUAACUCCGUGCAGCAGCCGCGGUAAUACGGAGGGUGCGAGCGUUAAUCGGAAUUACUGGGCGUAAAGCGCGCGUAGGUGGCUUGAUAAGCCGGUUGUGAAAGCCCCGGGCUCAACCUGGGAACGGCAUCCGGAACUGUGAAGCUGGAGGGCAGGAGAGGAAGGUAGAAUUCCCGGUGUAGCGGUGAAAUGCGUAGAGAUCGGGAGGAAGACCAGUGGCGAAGGCGGCCUUCUGGACUGACACUGACACUGAGGUGCGAAAGCGUGGGUAGCAAACAGGAUUAGAUACCCGAGUAGUC